AUACGAAUCUAGCCCGGGAACCGAGUUGCGGGAGUGCGGUCUGUGCCGUUCCGGCCAGGAGUUUGCCGACUGCAGACGUCCUGCGAACCGGCAAGAUGUGCUCUAUGGGGUUGUUCCCUCCUCCACCGCCUCGGGGUCAAGUCACCCUAUAUGAGCACAAUAACGAGCUGGUGACGGGCAGUAGCUAUGAGAGCCCGCCCCCCGACUUCCGGGGCCAGUGGAUCAAUCUUCCUGUCCUACAACUGACCAAGGAUCCCCUAAAGACCCCUGGAAGGCUGGACCAUGGCACAAGAACUGCCUUCAUCCAUCACCGGGAGCAAGUGUGGAAGAGAUGCAUCAACAUUUGGCGUGAUGUGGGCCUUUUUGGGGUGCUAAAUGAAAUUGCAAACUCAGAAGAAGAGGGUAAGUAUUUUUCCCUCCAGCCUUCCCUAGUUUUGUGGUUAUCUCCUCUCCAUAUUCUUGAACUCACCCCCGACACCUGUUGGCUCAGCCUCUUUUAGCCCUAUUUUUCCUGUCCUCUCCUCUACCUACCCAAAUAACCCAGAGUGGGUGUCCAGAGUGGGUGUCCAGAGUGUGG
rnacentral:sRNA from 1 species